UACAGAGGGUGCGAGCGUUGUUCGGAAUUACUGGGCGUAAAGCGCGCGCAGGCGGCCUUUUAAGUCUACCCGUGAAAUGCCGGGCUCAACUCCGUGCACGCCGGGGGAUACUGGGGAGGCUGGAGACAGGUAGAGGCAAGCGGAAUUCCGGGUGUAGCGGUGGAAUGGCGUAGAGGAUCCGGAAGAACACCUGAGGCGAAG
rnacentral:rRNA from 1 species